GCGCCUGUAGCUCAACUGGAUAGAGCAACGGCCUUCUAAGCCGUAGGUUGCAGGUUCAAGUCCUGCCAGGUGCGCCA
rnacentral:tRNA from 2 species